CUGGAGGUGUGGCUCAAUGGUACAGUGCUUGCUUAGCAUGUGUGAGGCCCUGGGUUUGAUCCCCAGCUACAAGA
rnacentral:tRNA from 1 species